AUACGGAAGGUCCGGGCGGUAUCCGGAUUUAUUGGGUUUAAAGGGAGCGCAGGCGGUGCUGCAAGCGUGACGUCAAAUUUCGGGGCUCAACCCCGUCUCGCGUCGCAAACUGCGUCCCUUGGUUGCGGGAAUGGGAUGCGGAACUCGUGGUGUAGCGGUGGAAGGCAUAGCUAUCACGAUGAAUUCCGAUCGCGAAGGAUACCACCCGGACCGUCGACACUGCUCAUGCACGAAGGUUCUGGUAGCAAUAUGGAUUAUAUCCCCUGGUAGUCCGCGCAGUAAAGGAUGGACACCCGCGGUUGGGCCUAUGUGGAUGAGCCGCUAAGCGAAAGCGUUAAGUGUCCCACCUGGGGAGUACGCCGUCAACGGUGAAACUGAAAGGAAUUGACGGGG
rnacentral:rRNA from 1 species